GAUGGGAAACCUUCAAGAAUAAUAGUGAGCGAGGAUGUUGUAUUUGAUGAGGGUUCCAUGCUGCAGCAAAAGGUUGAAACUGAACUAAUAACUUCUAAGCAAAGAGGCAACCAUGAGCCUAACCUGGAGGUGGAGCUUACUGAUGAUCACAGGGACACUGAUGAAAAGUUCAAGUCUUGUGACAGUAAACCUGGUUCCUCAAAAAUGGAUAACUACCAGCUGGAAAGAGACAGAGAAAGAAGGGUUAUCAAAAUGCCUAAGAGAUUUGGUAUAGCUGAUUUGAUAUCUUAUGCACUGAAUGCUGCUGAAGAAGUUAUUGGGGAAGAGCCCAGCAGCUAUAAGCAAGCCAUGAAUAGUAGAGAUAAAUCCAAGUGGCUGUCAGCAAUGGAAGAAGAAAUAUCCUCAUUAAAGAAAAACAACACCUGGACUCUGGUGAAAAAACAAGAGGGUAGGAAGCUGGUUGGGUGUAAGUGGAUUUUCAAACUUAAAGAUGGAGUUACAAGUGUUGAACCCCUAGAUAUAAGGCUAGGCUGGUGGCUAAGAGUUUUACACAAAGAGAAGGAGUAGAUUACAGUGAAGUUUUUUCACCAGUUGUCAAGUAUAGCUCAAUCAGGGUGUUGCUUGCAAUAACAACCUACAAUGAUCUGAAGUUGGAUCAAAUGGAUGUCAAGACAGCCUUCCUACAUGGCAAUCUUGAAGAAGAGAUAUACAUGGAACAUCAAGAAGGUUUCAUAUAAAAGGGGUCAGAGGACAUGGUUUGUUUGCUUAAGAAGAGCUUGUAUGGCUUAAAGCAAUCCCCAAGGCAGUGGUAUUUGAGGUUUGACCAAUUUAUGAUUGCUCAUGGUUACUUGAGGAGUCAAUAUGAUAGCUGUGUGUACUGCAAGUUCCUACCUUCUGGAGAUGGAAUUUAUUUACUUCUCUAUGUUGAUGACAUUCUCAUUGCAUGCAAGCACAUAGAAGAAAUAGAAAAGCUUAAAUCUGAGCUAAGGUCUGAAUUUGAGAUGAAGGACUUAUGCUCUGCCAGUAAGAUUCUAGGAAUGCAGGUUAAAAGGGAUAGAGCUGCAAAUACUCUAUUUCUCACACAGGUUGGUUAUGUCAGAAAGGUGCUCAGCAAGUUUGACAUGGUUACCACUAAAGCAGUUUCCACUCCUUUAGGCACACUUUCAAGCUGUCAAAACAGUAAGAACCAUAUGAUGAUGCAGAUAUUGAGUACAUGAAGAAAGUUCCAUACUCUAGUGUGGUUGGACGCAUUAUGUAUGCUAUGGUGUGCUCUAGGCCUGAUGUUGCUUAUGGGGUAGGUGUAGUUAGCAGAUUCAUGGGGAACCCAGGCAAAAUGCGUUGGAAUACUGCUAAGUGGAUACUUAGGUAUCUUAGUGGAUCAUCUGAUUUUGGUAUUCUAUUUAGUAGGGAUAACAAUGUCACAAGUAAGGUCAUAGGCUAUGUGGACUCAGACUUUGCUGGUGAUUUGGAUAAGAGGAGGUCUACUACUGGUUUUGUUUACACCAUGUGUGGAGGAGCUGUGAGUUGGAAAGCAUCACUGCAAUCAGUUGUUGCUUUAUCAACUACUGAAGCCGAAUACAUUGCACUUGCUGAAGCUGUUAAAGAAGCAAAAUGGCUCAGAGGGAUUAUAUCUGAACUGGGCCUGAUUCAAGAUACAAUUCCCAUAUGUUGUGACAACUCAAGUGCAAUUCAGUUGAACAGAAAUUCCAAAUACCAUGAGAGGACCAAGUAUGUGGAUGUGAGGUUACACUUCAUAAGAGAGAAAAUUGAAAGGGGAGUAGUGAAUGUUGUAGAAAUCUCUACUGAAGACAAUCCAACAGAUGCACUGACAAAACCAAUACCAACAGUCAAGUUCAGGAACUCUCUGAGCUUGAUUGGAGUUAGAAGCUUGUAAGUCAAGCAUAUUAACAAGCUAAAGCAGAGCUGGGUGAAACUGGAACAAAAUGAACUAAGGUGGAGAUUUGUGAAGCUAGUUAGUUAAUUCUGUUAUGUGAUUAAGUGGCGUGCUGAGUCAGCAUUUGUGUGGGGCCAGUAGUUAGUUAAUUUGUUACUGCUAACAGCUGGACAACAAUAGCUAUAUAUACAUAGCUCAGAGCUGAUCAACAUAUACUUUUCAGUCACGAUUUUGAGGGACCUAGGGUGAGAGAUAUGAAAUUAUUUGUAUGAGAGAUUGAAUCUUUGUCAUCAAAAGUCUCUUUGUAAACACUUUGUUCAAUAAAAGCUUCAAGCCCAGGAGGGUUCUUCAGUCGUGGAUGUAGGUACUUUGGUACUGAACCACGUUAUUCUGUGCGUGUUGUUUCCUAUUCAUCUUCUUUCUUUUCUGGUUAUUACUUGAAUUGGGUUGGUUAACGUUCUUUGUUAAAGAGAGUUGAUCUUGGUCGAUUGGGUUCGUUAGCUCAUGUUGGUUGAUUAACGGCUGAGGAUUUGAGUAAUUCCACAACAUUCCUCAUUCCCAAAUUUAGUAGAUCCCAUCACUUUCAUUUGCAUUCUUUGAUUUAAUUUUACAAGUAAUUACAUACAAUGGAAAUUAUUUCCUAAUUCAAGAAGUAAAUACACUCUUACUAGGUUUAAACCGUCCCACCCAUGGCGAUAGUACACACAUACAUAUGGAUGUAUGUAUGUAUUUGUAUAUAUGUGUGUGUGUAUUUCACUCCAAAACAAGACCAGGCUAUAGCCCAUCUUACCAUCCACAAUGAUUCGCCCAUGAUCAUAUGACUCCUAUCAUUGAUGAUGUAACUUUUAAGAUUGCUUUCUCAUAUAUGUAUUAAUGUUAAUCUAAGUUCGAUAUGUUCAAGUGAGGCAAAGAAAUGGUUACAAAUUCGUUAGUUAAAAGUACGGGUCAGAUGAGAAUGCAAAUUAUAUAUAAUAUUAUAUUUUUUACUAAUUCAAUUUUGGCUUGUGAUUUAAGCUUAGGAUUUAGCUGCAAUGUAGACAAAAUUACAAAAUAACCAAAAUUGAACAGCAGCAAUCAGCAUCCAAGCAAAUAAAUCAGUAGCAGCUUCCAGCAGUGAAAAAUAGAGAUUAUGAUUCUCUCCUGAUCUGAUCAUGUUCUGAGCAAACUAAUUAAUUGCUGAUUGAUUGUUGAUAAAUAAAAAAAAUAAAAGAAGUUAAAUCUUACCCAUAUACUACCACUAAAAGAUAUAUGACAGAAGAUUUUUAAAAUAUCAGUAUAACUCAAAUCAGGAGAGGAUUCUGUUCCGAAAAAUAGUUGCAAAAGCAACAACAGAUCCGAGAAUUAGUAAAAGCGUGAAGGCAUGCGCUAAGAUAUUAGAGCACUGUCCUCGAGAAAGCUUUGCUGGCGCAAUACAACGAAUGAUUAUUAAUGUAAGAAUGCAUUUACAAAUGACUAGACUGGAACAAGAAGUUGGAUAUGCUUUUGGUGAAGAAAAGUGAACUAUUUGUUUUAUGUAAUAUAACAAAAGAAAUUGUUUUCUUAAAUUAUUCAAUGGAAUGGGCAUCAGGGUACAACUUUCAAAUUUUUACAGGUAUCUAAUAAACAAAGGAAGUUGGUGCUUCAAGAAGUAAUUGAAGAUAGAAACUCCAUAGGUUAAAUUUAUUAACCUAAAAAAUUUUAGUUUUUGCAUUUUGUUGUUAUGUAAUUUAGUCACAAGUAAAUCAUUUUUCUAUACCCACUGUUAUGUACGAGGGAGAUUUUAUUAAUAAAAUGAAAACAUAAUUACAUCUAAAAGGAGGAAAAUAUUGAGCCUUAGCCAAAAUAAAAUCUAAAACAACAAAAGCUUGAAAGCUUGAAUACCAAAAAAUAAACAACCUAAACAUAAGCAGACCCAAAAAGUAAACCAAAAUGCAUGCAAUGCAACAAAAACUAACAGGUUGUUUAGCAGUUUUCUUGGUUUUGUUUCUAUUCAAGCUUUUAAAAUCACUAAGAGCUUUUGUUGAUAUCACUGACUUAUUUUAUGUUUACGAUAAUUAUAACAAAUAUGAAUUGUAGAUUGCUAGCAAUGGAUUUUGCAAAACGCAGCAAAUCUCAAUUAUAUUUUCGUUGACAUAAAUUCGCUUCAACAUUAAAUCACUAGCAUCAAUGAACAAGCAACGAAGAUAUAGCCUCUGACUAAAUCGAAAUAAAUUUCAAAGUAGCAAAUUCAAUAGCAUCGGUAGAUACUUUCUUCCUAUAGAUCACGCGCGCGCCCCAGCUACUGCAGAGAAUCUCCCUUAUACAUGCCAUGCUAUUUAGCUAAAGGCCAGAGUUUGAGAUUAUAAUGGCCAAUAAAAUUAGUUGCUUUUAUUGUGCUGAUGAAAUAAACUGUUAAAUAAAAAUAUAAUUAGGUAUUUAGUAAAUUAUGUUAUUGCGAUUGUUGUAAGUAGAUGAAGAAAGGUGUUUAAUAAAUUUUAUUAUGAAAGUGUUACCUUAUUAUAUAACGAACAAAAUAAAUCUAAGUUUACAUUAUCUUUUUAUUUUUAAGAGUAAGAUUAAUAAAUUUAUCAGGCAUGUGGUACACUUAAUAAAUUAUUUAAACAUGUCUUACUUUUUUUACUACAUAUGUACAAUUCAUAAAAAAUAAAGAAAGUGAAAUAUAUACAAUAUCAUUUUCUAUCUUAGCAGUUAAUUUCUCGUGGGUAAUGGGUUUGCUUUAACCAGGGUCGGCUCUAGCACAUUAGCGGCCUUAGGCGAAAUUUUUGUAUGGGGCCUUUCUCUAUUUAAAAACAACAAUUCUUAAAACCAUUAAAUAAUCUCAUUAUUUUAUUUUAAUGAAACAUAAGACAUUUCAUUUAUAUUACAAAUAAAAUCACAUUUAGUUUUGCAAGUUUCAUAAUACAAGCACCAGUUGAUCAACAUUUUCAACACCAACAACAAGACCUCAAAUCAAAAGAAUGCAUGUAAAUUAACAGCUUUAAAAACUGACAAUAUGAAUGCUACUGCCUCCUGGGAAUUCAAACUGUAGUAGGAAAAUAGCAAAUAUCCUGAAAACUCCAUCUCUGUCACAAAAUCACAUAUUUGAUAGGACCAUAACCCAUGAGAUAAUGUGAUUAUAUCAUUGCUCCAACAGUCCAACCGCUUCAUGUUUUGAUCCUUGUUGAAUGCAAUACUAACACAAGUAAUUAAUCAAUUAAAAAUUAUUCUUCUUGCUUUUUUAGAUGCAAAGUUAUUAAUUAAAUCCUCAAAAUUUAGGUUACCUAAAAAAUCUUUUAUCAAUUGAUAACAUAACUAAUCCAUUUAAUCUUUCUUGUGACAUUGUUGAUCUUAAAAAAGAUUUUAUCAAUUUCAGUUUUGAAAAACUCCUCUCAGCUGAAGCAACAGUUACAAGUAUUGUCAAUAAUAUUUUAUAAGCAACAAAUGCAUUAGGAAAAGAUCCUAUCUUUUUAAUAUAAUUAAGAAUGUCAAGUGAAGUAUUUAUUUUAAUUUGUAAAACUUCUUUCAAAACUUUUAACUCUGAAAACAAAUCUAAUCCAUCAAUAUCAGAAAACAUAUCAUGUUUCAAAGACUUUUCAAGAUGCAUGCAACUAUUUUUCAAACUAUCAUCAUCUAAUGAUUUUAACUUUUCAAAACUAAAUAAAAAUCCAAAAAUGCUUUGAUAUAAUUCAAACUACUGAAAUCUAAUAUUGAUAGAAGAAAUAGCUUGAUCGACAAUAUAAAUAAAGUAAUCAAUUCUAAAAGAAUCUUCAUGGGACGAAAUUCUUUCUUCAUUAUUAUUCUCACCAAAUACAGGUUUUCUACAAAUUACACGUUUUUCUUGAAAUUUUGGCUCUAUUCCCAUUUCACUUGCAAUCUCUUUAGCUAAAACAAUAGCCGACACAUAACCAUGUUCUCUAUAAUUUUCAAAAAAAAGAUGUAAGACCUUUUAGUUGAUUUAUGGCAACAUCGAUUUGCAUAUCUUGCUUUUGUAAGUUUUUACUAACAGUGUUAAUAGCAAAUAAUAUAUCAUACCAAAUAGUCAUACCUAAUAAAAAUUUAAAGUUUUCCAACUUAUAUGUUGCUAAACAUUUAGCUUCACUCUUUGUUUUAGGAUCUUCACCAAAUUCUGCCAAUUGGAGUAAAGCAUCUCUAAUUUGUGGGGCUUGAAACCUUAUUGCUUUAACACUUUCUAUGUGACUUUCCCAACGAGUUUGUGAUAAUGAUUGAACAGUUAAAUUAGGUACAUGAUCUUUUAAAAUUUUCCAUCUCUUUGUUGAAGAAGAAAACAAUGAAUAAUACGUUGUAAAACUCCAAAAAACAAAGUAGCUUUAGAACAAGAAUUAGCCAUAUCACAAAGUACUAAAUUAAGACUAUGACAGCCACAUGGUGUAUAAAAUGCUCUAGGAUUUAUUUCUAACAAUCUUUUUUGUACACCUUGAUUUUUUCCUUUCAUAUUAGAUCCAUUAUCAUAUCCUUGUCCUCUUACAUCAUUAAUAUCAAGCUCAAGUGUUUUUAAUACAUCCACAAGUUCACUAAACAAACCUUUUCCAGUGGUAUCAUCUACCUUUAAAAAUCCUAAAAAGUAUUCUUCUACAUUUACUAGAUUUGUUGAAAUAUCUAUACAUCUUAGUAUGAGAGACAUUUGUUCUUGGUGACUUGCAUUCAAAAUUAAUUCAUUUUGUAUGUUAUGGCCAAGAUAAUGAUUAUGAAUUUAACCUAUUUUAAUACGUCAAAUGUGCUCUUGCAUUGUUGGAUCAAAUUCUGCUAUCAUUUCAAUGAAACUUAAAAAAUUUCCAUUGCUCUCUUCAUAGAUCUUCUCAUUUGUUCCACGAAAUGCUAAAUUAUUUUUUGCAAGAUUUUUUACAACAACAAUAAUUCUUAUUAGUACUUUCUUCCAAUGUUCUUUCUCCUUGUUUAUUCUUUCUUGAGCAUCUUUGUCAAUUGUUCUUCUUGUUGACAAUCUUGUUUCUAAAUCAACCCAUGCAUUCAUAUUAGUUAUAUGUUCAUUAGUUGUUUCAUGUCGUUUAAGUUUAGCACUAAAAUUUUUCCAAUAUCUUGACCCUUCAUCACUUAACUGAGUUUUACUACAACUUAUAUUGAACAAUUUGCAAUAGAAACAAUAUACUCUGUCAAAAUCUUUUGAAUAUAUUAACCAUUUUCUAUCAUGUUUUUUUUCUCCAUUUGGUAGUAUUUUAACAUAAAAUGUGUUAGAAAAAGGCCUAAGAUUUUCAUCUUUUGGAUAAACUACAUCAUACUCUCUAAUUGGGCCUUUUUUCUACUAAAAGAUCUCUUAACUUUGUAUCUAUUUUUUUCCAUCUUCUCGGAUCAUAUAUGUUAUGUGGAAUAAAUAAAUUUUCUACAUUAGCUGUGCCACUAUCAAUUCCAGUUUCUUUUAAAUUUUCUUCUUCAACACUGUUUUCUUCAUCUUUUUCUAAUUCUUUUGGAGCCGAUUGUUGUUCUUGUUCAAUUACUAAUUCUUCACUUAAAUCUCUAUCUUUUUUAUAUGUGACAAACUUAUCAAGAGCCCCCCUUUUGAGAUUCAACUAGUUUUUCAAUUCUUCUUAUUUUCAGUAGUUUUUCAUACCCAGAUGCAUAUUUUCUAGUUGACAUCUUCAAUUUUAAAUAACAAACAGAAUCAAACAAACAAACAAAUUAACAAACAACAAAUCUUCUCCUAUAAAGUACUAAUAUUAUAUAUGAAAACAAACAAACAAACAAAAGCAUAAACAAAUAAUAAAAAACACAAAUACUUGAAAAGUGAAAACGAAAUAAUUAGAAUGAGUGCACCUGGAAAAAAAGAUGAUGACAAAUAGGUAAUGGAUUUUCUUUCUCAAGUACAAAGAAUGUCAAAUUUGAUAAAUUGGAGCAGAUGAGAUGCCGAAUUCAGUCAAUGGGAGCAAAUAAUUAGAAUCCAAUAAUUUCGAAUUUGAUCACUGGAAGGAGAUGAGAUGAUUAAAUGAAGCUUGAAUUAUGGAAUUGAGAAUGAAUAUUCUAGACUUUCUUGCUGAGGAAGAGAAAAUUGAAAAGGCAAAGGAUUUGGGCGUUGCUUUUAAGGUGUUUAAUUAUAAAAGGAAUAUUGAAAGUUUUAUUGGAAAGAUAAUGGAAAUAUUUAAUUACCGUUUGUAUUAAAUAAUUAGUUACCGUUUGGGAAGUCAAAGAUAAUUGUAUUAAAUAAUUAGUUGUGAAAAUUGGGCCUUUUUAAUUUUAUUGGAAAUAUAAUUAUAUUAACUAAUUGUGAAAAUUAGGCCUUCCUAUUUUUGGGCUCUAGACGGGUGCCUAUUUGGCCUAACGGUGGAGCCGGCCCUGGCUUUAACCAUGAGUGCAUUAUGGCAAACAAGCAUGGAGUUCUCUUUUUCUUUCUCUAUGGAGAAGAUGUUGGAAUCUUUACAAUUCACAUAAAGUAAAUAAACCCUAAUUUGAAUAAACUUUAGUUUUUAAGAUCAUAAAAUAUCAUGAUUUUCACAUAAUCAUAAUUGAGAGAAAACAUACCUUGAUCUGUAGCAAUUUUUCUUGAUCAAAUCUCACUGCCAAGAGUUAAAGAUUAGUAAAAUUAAUUUCUCUCUAUUGACCUCUUUAGAGCGACUCACUUUCUAAUGGAGAGAAAAUUAAUGUGAUAUCCUUUUAUAUAUUGGGAAGAGAGAGGUUUAAUAAAACUCUAAUUCUCACUUUCCAUCAAAGUGGGCAGUUAGUUUUUCCCAAUUGACCAAUAGGAUUUCAGCCCUUGAUUUACUUUAUUAUUGCUAAUUUAAUAAUGUGGCACGUGGGCCACUAUAAAAUAUUCCAACAUUAUCCUAUUUGGCCCAUGUGACACAUUUAAAUUAAUGGUUUAAUAAUAAUAAUAAAUAUUAUGCGCAUAGUAAGAGCUAAAUCCUUACUUGGAUUGGUCAAGCCAUAAAAUCAUCAUUGAACAAAAACUAAUACGAAUCAUAGUGGUUUCCCAUCAUUAUUUCGACAUAGUUCCUCAUAUGUAUCAUAAUAUCAGUUUUAUGCUUAACAUGACCUGUAAUGGGAAAGAAAACAAUGACGAUCCAUCAAUAAUGUCUUAGUCAGAGACAAAACCUAUUAACAAUCAUGUCAUCAUUCAUGUAUAUACCAUUAAAUCAAACAAGAUAUAAAAGAAUUAGAAACAAUACUUAAAUGAGCUCAGAGUAUCAAAUACAUAAAGAGCAUAACAAUUUAAACAUAAUGUCAAUAGAGAUAUCCAAUAAUACCCAUCCUUUCAACAUGUUCGAUGAAAACCUUUGGAUUUAAUCCUUUUGUUAAAGGAUCUGCAAUGAUAAAGUUGGUGCUAAUGUGCUCGAUUGACACUCUUCGUUUAUGAACUUCCUCUUUAAUGGCAAGGUAUUUUAAUUCUAUACGUUUAGCACCCUUUGAAUACCUGUCGUUUUUAGAGAAGAAGAUUACUACGACUUAUCACAAUAAAUCUUCAGUAGCUCUGUUGACAAUUCUAAGACCUGAAAUAAAGUUCUACAACCAUAAUCCAUGAACAGUGGCUUCAAAGCACGCCACAAACUUAGCUUCUAUAGUGCAAGUAGCAAUGACGAUCUGUUUUGCACUUUUCCAUGAGAUGGCUUCUCCAGCCUUUAUGAACAAAUAGCCAAAUGUGGAAUUUAUGGUAUCCACACAGCCAGCAUGAUAUGAAUCUGAAUACCCUAUCACUUUGAGAUGAUCAGAUCUCUUAUAAGUGAGCAUGUGAUCCUUUGUUCCUAGCAAGUAUCUUAAUUCUUUCUUUGCAGCUUUCCAGUAAUCCAAUCCAAGAUUACUUUGAUAUCUGCCGAGCAUUCCGAUAGUAAAACUGAUGUCUGGCCUGGUGCAUGUUUGUGCAUACACCAAACUUCAAAUAACAAAUGCAUAAGGAAUCCUUUCCAUCUGUUUGCAUUCCAAUUUGUUCUUUGGGCAUUGCAUAAGGCUGAGUUUAUCUCCUUUCUAAAUUGGAACAACACUUGCAAAGCGUUUUUCCAUUCUGAAUCUCUUUAAUACUUUAAACUCUUUGGUCUUAUGAAGUAGAGAAAAAUCAUUAGCAGUAAGUAAAAUGUCAUCAACAUACAAAAUUAGAAAAAUAAUCUUACUUCCACUGACCUUGAGAUAUAUACAUCGGUCAAAGAAGUUUUCUUUAAAUCCAAAGGAAGUGAUGGUAUCAUUAAACUUAAGAUACCAUUGUUGGGAGGUUUGGUUAAGUCCAUAUAUUGAUUUCUUUAAUUUACACACGAGAUUUUCCUUUUCUUCAGCUAAAAAGCCUUCAGGUUGGGCCAUAUAAACAUUUUCCUUUAAAUUCCCAUUUAGAAAGGCAGUUUUCACAUCCAUUUGGUGUAACUCUAAAUCAUAGUGAGCCACCAAUGCCAUAAUAAUUCUAAAGGAGUCUUUUUUAGAGAUUGGUGAAAAAGCCUCUUUGCAGUCAACGUCGUCCUUUUGAGUAUAACUGAUAACUCUAUGAGAUGAGAGUUAUUAUUAUACUUUUAGACUUAAAUAAUGAUUACUUAUAAAGUAAAUGAUGUGCUUUUAUUGUAUUUUAGUUAUAUUUUGCAUAAACAUCUAUUUUAGUUUAUCUUUAAUCAAUUUUGUUUGAUUUAGAAUAUUUUGUGUGCUUAAAUCUCAUGCAUAAUUGUAGGUGAUCGAAAGCUCAAAUUUUAAUAAAGGAAUGUUGUUGCAAUGGGCUUGCGAAAAUAAGGAAAGAACUUGGCUAUAGAAGAACUGAAACAAAUUUGGAACAAUGCAGUUGUUGUAGCCGUUGCUUUAGCAUUUGUUGCUGUAGUAAUCCUGGAGCAUUGACAGAGAAGAUUUCGAGUGAGCUACUUAGAAGAUUGGGAUUGGAGUUUCCAAAUCUUGAAGAUACGUGCCCUAAACUUCCGGUUGCCCUAAUUUUUAACUAUAAAAGGAGCACACAAGACAACAUAUUCAGGCUAUAAUUAAAUUGCUAUAGCACCAGAAGAUCAGGAGAAGACAACAUUCACUUGUUCUUAUUGAACUUUUACUUUUAGAAGGAUGUCAUUCGGUUUGUGCAAUGCUCCAGCAACCUUCCAGAGGUGUAUGAUGUCCAUCUUUUCAGAAAUGGUCGAGCAAACAUUAGAGAUGUUCAUGGAUGACUUCUUGAUUUUUGGGGAAACAUAUGAUGAUUGCUUACAAAAAUUAGAAAAUGUGCUUAAGAGGUGUGAGGAGACUAACUUGGUACUCAAUUAGGAAAAGUGCCACUUUAUAGUACAAGAAGGUAUAGUCUUAGACCAUAAAGUCUUAAAAAAGGGAAUAGAGGUGGACAAAGCAAAAAUAAAAGUGAUACAUAAAUUUCCACCCUCAACUUCAGUAAAGGGUAUUAGGAGUUUUCUAGGACAUGCUGGGUUCUAUAGAAGGUUCAUGAAAAACUUUUCCAAAAUAGCUAAACCCUUGUGCAUGCUGCUAGAAUAUGACAGACCUUUAAACUUUGAUGAAGAUUGCUUAAAAGCUUUUUGUGAAUUGAAAAAAGCUCUUAUUACAGCACCCGUCGUUAUAGUACCAGAUUGGAGUUCACCUUUCGAGUUGAUGUGUGAUGCCAGUGACCACUUUGUUAGAGCAAUGCUAGGGUAGAGGAAGAAUAAGAUUUUUCACUCCAUUUACUAUGCUAGUCCUUACCAAUGCUCAGAUCAAUUAUACCACCACUGAAAACGAGUUGUUAGCAGUUGUAUUUGCAUUUGAUAAAUUCAGAGCCUAUUUGGUUAGCACCAAAGUGAUAGUUUACACAGACCAUGCAGCAAUAAUGUAUUUGAUUGCAAAUAAGGAUGCCAAACCAAGGUUGAUAAGGUGGAUCCUCUUGCUACAAGAGUUUGACUUGGAGAUCAAGAAUAGAAAAGGGACCGAGAACGAAGUAGCAGAUCAUCUUUCAAGGCUUGAAGCAGAUGCAAGCACCUUGACCAAACAUGACAUCACAUAAAUAUUCCAUGAUGAGCAACUGCUAAUGCUACAAUAUGCACAGAUGCUGCAACAGUCUAGACUCCCAUGGUAUGCAGAUUUUGCUAAUUACUUGGUGAGUGAACUUUUACCACCUGAUUUGAGUUAUCAGCAGAAGAAGAGAUUUUUCCAUGAUGUCAGAAGUUAUCAGUAGGAUGAUCUCUCUUUGUAAAAGAUGUGUUCAGACCAUUUGAUUAAAAGAUGUGUACCUGAUGAAGAAAUUCCACACAUAUUGUAUUCAUGCCAUACUGCAGCAUAUGAAGGAUAUUUUGAAGGCCACAAAAUAGCUGCCAAAGUUUUACAAUCAGGUUAUUACUGGCCCUCUAUUUUUAAAGAUGCUUAUAAUUUUGUUAAAUAUUGUGACAGGUGCUAAAGAACAAAGAACAUAUCUCAAAAGUAUGAAAUGCCAUUAACGAACAUUUUAGAAGUUGAGCUCUUUGAUGUAUAGGGAUAGACUUACGGGUCCAUUCCCACCAUCUUUUGGGAACUUAUAUAUUCUAGUUGCCGUAGACCAUGUGUCCAAAUAGGUAAAAGCUUUAGCCUUGCCGACAAAUGAUGCCAAAGCUGUGGUGAAAUUCUUUCAAAGGAAUACUUUCUCAAGGUUUGAGACUUUAAGGCACUCAUUUUUGCAACAUGAUAUUUGCUGCAACAUUGACUAAAUAUGGAAUUAAGCAUAAAACUGCUACAGAAUAUCACCCACAGUCUAAUGGUCAGCCAGAAGUGUCAAACCGGGUGAUCAAAAGGAUUUUAGAGAAAGUAGUGAACCCUGCUAGAAAAAAUUGGUCACUUAGAUUACAUGAUUCCUUAUGGGCCUACAGUAUAGCCUACAAGACACCACUUGCCAUAUCUCUAUACGAAAUUUUCUAUGGCAAAGCUUGUCAUUUUCCAUUAGAGCUAUACCAUAAAGCAUAUUGGGCAUUAAAACAACUAAACAUGGACAUGCAUGCUGCAACAGAGUAUAAAAAAUUCCAACUUUGUGAACUUGAUGAAUUAAGGUUGUUAUCCUAUAAAAAUGCAAGGAUUUACAAGGAGAAAACAAAACAAUGGCAUGACAAGCACAUUCAGCAAAGAAAUUUAAUUCCAGGCCAACAAGUUUUGCUCUACAACUCAAUAUUAAAGCUUUUUUUUUUGGGAAAGUUAAAAUGUAGAUAGUUUGGACCUUUAAGACUUAUCAACAUUUAUCCUCAUGGUGCUGUAGAUUUCAAGGAUGAGAAAAUUGGUAAGGAAUUUAUGGUAAAUAGGCAAAAAAUCAAACAUUACAUUGGUGAUGUCUUGCAGGACUCAAUGGAGGAUGUAAGCCUCACAGAUCCAGUUUGAGCAGAUUAGAGAAGGUCAGACUGAAGGACCUAAAAUCAAGUGCUAAUUGGGAGCCAAUCCAAUAAUUAGGGAAGUUAUUUUUAUUUUUCUUUAAAUUUAAUUUUGCAUGUUUCUCUUUAUGGUUAUUGUCAUUAUGAUUAGUUAAUUUCUUUUCGUGUUUUAUUGCAGUCUAACUAAAAAAAAAAAAAAACUUGGGCUAUGAAACUGACACAUGUUGCUGCAUCAUUACACUUUACAUGACAGUUGGACAAUACUUCUCAUCAAACGGGGAACAUUACUGCAGAUUGCUGUAGCACAAGAUUAUUUGUUGUAGCAAUAAUUCUUACCCUUACAAUGACACACCUAUGGAAAAUUUUCUUUUACCAUUGGGAAUAAAUUUUUGACAACUGGCUUAGCAAAUCAAGAUAAAGAUAAGAAGGGAUUACAUAAUCCCUAGAUUCCCGAACCGAUAUCCUUUCCUUAUUUAAAUUGGAUAUGUUUUUAAAUUCAAAUAUUAUUUUCAAUUUUAUCUUUUAAAAUAAAAUUUUCUUUUAUUCUUAUUUUUACCAUCACCUAUAUAUUAGGGUUUUAUUGUGCUUUUUGUAAUCUCAUUCCAAAUUUUUUUUCUUUCUUUUCUCAUCAGCAGCUCCCUACAGUCACAACUCCUUUCACGGUCUGUCCUUUUUCUUUUACCCAACAACUUAGAUCUGGUUGCUCUAGCCAUAACAAGAUACAAAAAGACUGCGGCUAGACUAAAUAACCCUUACGAUUCUAUAGUUACAAUGCCGAAGAUAAGUUCGAUGAAUUUAUCAAAUCAAGAAUGAUUUUAGAAGAAAAAAGAUUCCAAUUCCUGCCACAACCUUCUGGAACAAUCUACACUAUCCAUGCUGCUGCAGCAAGAAGGGGCUGGUUAGAAUUUUGCACCCAUUUAAGGGACCCUAUGCUGCCGAUUGUCAAGGAAUUUUAUGCCAACAUGCUCCGGAAAGACCAAUGCACAAUUUGGGUAAGGAACACUCAAGUUUCCUUAGACCCAAGAGUAAUUAAUGCUUUUUACAAUUUACUUUUUGAUGUUGACUGUGAGUACUAAAAAAUGAUUGGAAGCAUGACCCAUAAGAAAUGGAAUAGUGUGCUUAAAACCCUUACAGUGGUAGGUAGUUCAUGGGAAAAUGACGAGGGUCAAGUAAUAAAUAGGAUCGAAUUGAAACCAAUUACCAAAGUUUGGGUAAAAUUUUUGAAAUCUAGAUUGAUGCCCACAAUACACACCACCACCGUGUCCCAAGAAAGGUUGAUUCUCUUAUAUGUCAUCCUUAAAGGAUUGCCAAUCGAUGUUGGGACAAUUAUCGAGAGGGAGAUUAGAGAAUGUGCUAUGAAAAAGCACAAAUUGCUGCUUUGUAUUUUCUUAACUUAUCUCUAGCUUAUGUCUUGUAUCUGAAGUGAACAUAAUUGCAAAGGAUGAACGCAUUAAGAAUAAAGGAGCUCUCACUGCUCGUACUAUAGAAAUAAUUACUGGUGAAUCUACUGCAGCAAUACCAAAGCAUACUGCUAUAGUAGGAGCAAAGAGGGCCAUUGGGGUUGAAAGGAGAUUGUAAGAGCUGAGUGACAUUAUCACUCAAUGUGCAGAGGCACAACAGAGAAAAAAUAAUCGAUUCUGGAACUACUUGAUGCAUUUUGAAGACCACUUGCAUCAAUUUACUGUUUACACGAAAAAAAAAAUAGAGACUUUCCUGAUAGCUUGUUGCAACAAUUUAAUUUUCACACAGCAGAAGAAGAUGCACCCACUCAAGUCGCAACCAAUGACGAAGAAUCAGAGUCUGAGGAAGAACCACAACCAACUGAGGAGGACAAAGAGGAGUAUGAAGAAACAUUAAAAGAAGAAAAUAAGGAGUAAAGUGCGAGCGAUGAUUCAAUAGAAGAGCAGGGAGCGGCACCUCCAGUAAUGUCUCCUAAACGUAGAUAGAAGCACAUCAUCAUAAUAAAAGAUGAGCAAGUUGAUGAGCCUCCAAUCCCAAUAUUCUCUAGUAAAGGCAAAGAAAAAGUUAUGAGUGAUGACCACUUAGAGGACAAUUAAGAGGACAUUGAUGCAGAACUUAAAGCACCUGCCACAAGCGUUCCUCAAACAGCUGCAGAAAAGUAGAGUUUACUGGAUAUAAUUGUUGAAAUCACUGCUGAAGAACCUGCUGCAACAACAUUUGCUCAAACUGCUCCACAACAAACUCGAACCAAAUUUCCUACCAUAGCUCAUAGGGGAUCCAGCAAACGCAAAGGGGCACAAAUCUCUAGAGGUGCUACAGCACCAAAAGAACCAGAGCACAAGCAAACAAGACCCACUCAGCCCAAAGUUACUGCACCUGCUGGAACUCCACCGAUCAAUCCAACUCUAAGUCAAAAAAAGAAGCAGCCAGCUGCCACAUCACUUGGUUAACCCAAAGAGCGUUUGCGAAGUAUAACUAAGAAGAAGUGAACCUGCUGCAACAGAAUAUCCAACAACAGGGGACUAUCCCUUGCCAGCCCAUUUUAAUUUUUCAUCAUCUGAAACUUUUCGUUUAUUUUUUUGUUUUUUAUUAUUCAAUUUUCAUUCUUUUGCUUGUUAAUGCAUGCGUGUUUUUUUUAAUUUAGUUUGUGUGCUUGUGAGGACACAACACCUCUCAGUUUGGGGGGUUUUUGUUAUGGUGUUAUGUGUUUGUGGAUGCAUGUGUUUGUGUUGAGUGUCAUGUGAAGCUCUGUUAUCGAGCAUUUAUGUAUGGAUUGGUAAACCUAAUGAUAAUGAAUUGAGUGACAUUCAAUAUUUAUGAUUGCUAAAGUAGGGAUAGUGUACAGAUGAAGGCUGAAAUUUUGUCUCAACACUUAGACUUUGAUUGAGUUUCAUAAGUAUGAUGUAGCAGAGAUAGGAGAAAAACAUUGAGGGUAAAAAAAAAAAAUCUUAAGUUUGAGGGAAAGUUUUUGUUAAAUUGUGCUUGUUAUGAAAUAAAUGCUGCUCCAAUAGCUUAUGUUGCUGAGUAACCGGAGUUGAGUAUAUACUCUAUAUGCAGACUUGAGUCCAAAGGCAAUAAGAGCUAUGAGCAUUGUUGUAGCAUCUAUUAAAAAAAGAGAGAAAUAAAGGUCUUUUAUCUAGGAUAAUGAGUAACUAAGCCUGUUCAUAAGCCAUAUGUUCAGCCUUGAGUUAAAGAUAUCUUUAGAUAAGACGAUGUUGUGAGCAGUACUGUAGAAACUCUGAUAUGUACAUUGGUUGAGCAGUUCGGUGUCAUCACCAUAAGUGAUAGACAUUCACAUUAAAAAUCAAUGAUACAUUGAAGAGAAUUUAAUAAAAAAAAAAAGAAUAUUAUGCUAUAACACAGUUUGAACUUUGUUUGUGACUUCUGCUCUCCCAUGUAUGAAUGUACUUGUAGUAUACCUCUAAAGUAUAUGUAACAUCUGUACAAUGCUGCAACAUCUUUAAAAUUUGAUCAAAGUGGCACACAUACACACUUUGGACAGAAUGAGGCCUAAGUCUAAAAUUGAACUACUGUGGCAAUUUUGCAUGAUUAAAAAUGUGAUCUGAGGGUUGAGAAAUCCUUACAAACUUGAUGACAAAGCUAAUUUAUUAGUGCAUGAUUGUGUGAUUAAAGUGUGAGUAUUGUCAUCAUUAUUUGAGGACAAGUAAUGGUUUAAGUUUGAGGGUAUAUUAACUCUAUGAAAUGAGAGUUAUCAUGACACUUUUAGACUUAAAUAAUGAUUACUUAGAAAGUAAAUGAUGUGUUUUUAUUGCUUUUUUUAGUUUAUCUUUAAUCAAUUUUGUUUGAUUUAGAAUAAUCUGUGUGCUUAAAUCUCAUGCAUAAUUAUAUUUGAUCGAAUGCUCAAAUUUCAAUAAAGGAAUGCUUUUGCAAUGGGCUUGUAAAAAUAAGGAAAAAACUUGGUUACAGAAGAAUUGAAACAAAUCUAGAACAGUGCAGUUACUGUAGCCGUUGUUGUAGCAUCCGUUGCUGUAGCAAUCCUAGAGCAUUGACAAAGAAGAUUUUGCACAAGAUACUUAGAAGAUUGCGAUAUGGAGUUUCCAAAUCUGGAAGAUACGCGCCCUAGACUUUCGGUUGCCCUAAUUCUCAACUAAAAAAGGAGCACAAAAGCAAGGAAAGAGGAGAGCCGUCAACCAAGAACAAAAACCAAAAAGAAACAAGAGUAAAAUAGAAUUCAAUAGCAAGAUUUAAGGCUGCAUCAGAGGAGAACACGCAGAGAUCAAUUGGGAAAUCAAUCCUUCUUAUCCUUUUCUUGUUUACUAGUUUACUCUUCAAUCAAUGGGAUGUAUUUGAUGGCUGAAACCCAUUUAUUUAUUUUUCUUUCACAAACCAUGAACUAAAUUUAUUUGUGGUUGAGUGAUAAACAAUCUUUAUGAUUCAUUGAUUGAUUAUAUGUGUUGCUAGAUGUUUGCUAUAGUGCUUUGUUUUGAUAAUACUUAUUUCUAUUCAUUAUUUCAGUUGACCACUCAUUUAAUGAUAUUAGCUAAGAAAGAGCCACAAAAAGGCCUAUCUUAGUGGGACAUAUCAUAACAAUACUUGGUUUUGGAUUGAGUUUCUUGAGUUGAGUUUUACUUGAUUCUAAAAGGGUUAUGCUUAAUCUAAAACUAAUGAUAAACUAGACACGGGGAUUCACCUUAUAUGGUAAAUAGAACUUAGAUCGUUUAUUGCUAUAUUUAAUGUUGGCGUAAUAAUUGGUCAUUAUUAGGUUGCAUUAGAUAUAAGAUAUCCAACAUGCGAUAGCUGAUGAUGCAUGAGAGAUUCUGCCUAAUGCUGUAGCAACUAAACUUAAAAUUGGAAGAAAUAGUCAAAACCAUUAAGAAAGUUUAAUCACUCAACUAUUCUAUUCUCAUUGGUUUUAUCCUUGUCUUCGACAUAAGAAUUUUCUCUGCUGCAUUUUUAUUUAUUGCAUUUUAUUUUAAUUAGUGUUUUAAUUUUAUUAGUUGCUUUAUUUUCAAUUAAAACAAAACUGCAUUGUUAAGAUUGCUGUAGCAAACCUAAUAACAUCAAUCCUUGUGGAGACGAUCUGAAUACUCAUCAGUAUACUACUUGUUGUGUACACUUGCAUGUUGACACCCAUAGCAUUUGAAUUAACAUACAACAAUAACCUUUGGCAACGAGUCUGAAAAUAUCUAAAUGAUGUCCAGUAUCGAAAACCAAACUGUAAGUUCCAAUGCCUUUAACUGAAGCUUUAACCCGGUUCCCUAUGAAAAUAAACUUCUCAUUUGGGUUUGUACUUUGGAUCGUAAGAAAUCCCUGCAUCAUGUUUGAAACGUGAGUAGUGCAACUAAUCCACCACAUGUUAUAAGGAACUUCAACUAAUUUUGAUUUGAAACAUGCUAAAGCACUAGGCUUACCUUUCUUUUCGAACUAACCUUUAUGCUUUAGGCAAUCCUUAGCGAAAUGUCCAUGUUUCUUACAGAAAUGACACUUCUCAUUUUUGAUGUCCUUCUUCUGGACUUGGGUGGGUUGCACUUUCAGCUUUGAUGCUUUUUUCUUGCCCUUGUGAUAAUUUUUUCUUUCAGGCUUCUUUUCAGCUUCUUUAUGACCCAUGAGGUUAAUUGAGUGAAUUCUUUGUUUCUUAAGUAUUGUCUCUUCUUGAAUGAGCUUGGUCUAGAGCUCAUUUAUACUCAAUUUGUCUUUAAUGGUGUUAUAAUUUAUUUCAAAUGCACCAUACUCAAAAGGCAAAGAGUUGACAAUGAAUUGCACAAGGAAACUUUCACUUACUUCCAUCCUCACAGACCUCAAUUUUUUUGUUGUGUCUAUCAUCUCAGUCACAUGCUGAUGCAUGGUACGUGUACCAUCUAACUUACAUGUAGUCAACGUACCCAUUAAUGCCCUAGCAAGAGAUCUAUCAGCCAAUUCAGACUGAGAACUCUCUUUCACAAAUUCCAUAUAUUCCUUAGCACUUUCAGUUUUCAAAAUUGUAGACUUGAUGUUGUUGACAACUGUCAUCUACAUAAACAUUAUGCUUAGUUUGUUUAAUAUCUCCCAAGUCUUAUGGAAAGAUCUCUCUUCAGCACUGCUUUCAUCAAUAAUAGCAGUUGGCCUUUUAGUUAAUAGUGCUAAGUCAAGAUCCAAAACACCUAAGUGAAACUGGACUUGCUCAGACCAAUCUAGGUAAUUAAGGCCAUUAAACGUAACAACAGACGAAGCUUGCGAAUGAAGAGCAACAGGCACAGGUGCUGCAAAUAUAUAUAAAUGCUCAUACAUUAAUUCUUUGAACUUAAACACAUAAUAUAGAUUCAGAUAAAAUUCACAUAAACUUUAAGCACAUAUUGAAGUUCACCUUUGGACGAUACAACAAUACACUACAAUAAACAUAAUUGAUGCUUUACUUUAAUUUCACAUAAUUAGUAAUUAAAUACACAUUAACUAGACAAGUAAGCUAUUUUUGGAUGUAAUAAACAUAUCUAAUCAAGCAUACUAAUUACCCACAAUCAUGAUCAUAGAUUAUAAAAUUAGUUAAUCAACCUUUGGGUGAUUCUAAAUAUUUUAUAAUCUAUGAAUUUCAAUAUACCUAUAAGCAAAAUCAUCAUGUCAUUAAAUAAUAAGCAUCACAAUAAUUACGAGUAUUUGAAAUUGAAUUUAAUUUGACAUCUAUGAAAACUUUCUAAAUUGGCCACUUUGGUGACUAACAAAUUAUCAUAAUAUGAGUGUCAAAUUGAAUAUUUAUAACAAAAUAUUUUCCUUAAUAAAAAUAAACAAAUAAAACCACAACUAUCAAUUGAAAUUUCAAACAUUAAAAUUGGAAUAUUAAAAAAUUUCAAAGAUUAUUAAUUAAUGAGUAGAAGCAUUCAAAAUUAUAUUAACAAAACUUAUAAAGCUUGACGUACAUAAAGUUAGUGGCUUUAUCAUACUAAACCCAAUCAAUCAUAUCUAUAAUUUAAUAAAAAAAAAAUCAGGGACUAAACUAAAAAUUUACAUGUUUACUACUAGAAAAAUAACCUUUACUGACACUUGUCUUGUGAUACUUUAUUAAAAAGUAUCAGUAAUUACAUGCAUUUCGGACAUUUUCCGUGUUUAACAAAUAAAUAUCACAAAUUUGUGAUACUAUAGUGUCUGUAAAUUAAAUAUCAGAGAUAUGUGACAAUAAGGUGUUAGUAAUUAGAAAAAUAAAAUUUUAAUUUUGUGUCCAUUAGGAAUCGAACUAAAGACCUAUAAACUUUAACUUUUUAAUUUUAAACAUUAACCACUGGGCCAUGAGUUGGAUUUUGAUUUUUGGCUUAAUAAGUAAAUAAUAUUAAAAAUUAAAUUAAAUUACCUAGAUACUAUGUCGUUUUAAUGGAAGGUGUACAUGAAAACCUAAAAUCUAAAAUUUUUAAGAAGUGAAAAAACAUUCCCCACGGCCGCUUCUUGUUAUGAACUGAAGCUCUCUUCCUUCCUUCUCUCUCUCUCUCUCUCUCUCUCUCUCUAUAACAAUGAUCUACCUCAGCCGUCAUCGUCAACCUUCAAAUCGCCAUCCUUGACCUAAAAUACCCUUGAACUAGAAAGUGUUGUGAAGAAUUUGAGCAAAGCUACGGUUUUUUUGAAAGUUCGAAUCCAAAAAUUAGGGCUUUUUUGUAGGGGGUAUUUCAUUGUUUUUAAUGUUAAGUUCGAAGAGAAUGAUUUUGUCGCCGUUACCGCCUAAGCAGUAUGGAGUGACGAAGCCAAUAUCAAUUGCAGGAUCGAUGGAGGGUGAUAUGCAAAGAACCCAUGAGAAAAGGUUGUGUUUUAUCUUUAUUUAUAAUUACUUUUUUCUUUCUGUAUAGAAAACGCUGAUUUCAAUUUCCUUUAGGGUUGAAGUUUUUGGUUGGAGCUGGGUUUUAUGAAAGCAAAGAAGAAGCGGCAAAGGGAGAAGAGGUUCUGUUUCGAAUUAGACAGGCAAGAGUUUUUUUUAAAAAAAAUUAAUUAUUGGUGAUUUUGAAACCUGGGAUGACCUUGUUGUAAUAUUUUUGUUAUCAGUUGGUUCAUUCUUCAUUUUGUAAUUGGGUUACGAAUUGAGUUUGUUUGAAUUGUAUUGGUGAUCUUAGAGGUUUUAUUUUAUUAGAGAAUUUAGUGAUGAACCAGAAAUAACUUCAUUGUCUGGCAAAUUCGUCUUUUGCUUUAUCAUUGCGCUCAUUUGUCUGGCAAAUUCGUGUUCUUUAACUCCCAUUUGAUUUUUUUUUUUUUGUUAGUCAAAUUGAUAUUUACUCAUUCAUUUAAGUUCACACAUUAAUUCUCAACCGUCUUAGUUCGUUAAUUGGAUCCUAUUAAUAGUCUCAGGAUAAUUAUAAGUGACUGGGUUGUGACAUUGAGUUGUGACUCAAAUAUUGUACUGUCCGCUUUAUUCUGCUUUAUGAUGCUUAGUUUAAUAUCUUAGACAAUAGAGGAAUCGAAACUGGAGCAUGGAAUGUAUUUAUUUCCAUAGUUGGGAUCUUGGAGAUGUUUCUUUACGUGUUUGUUCAUUGAGCUAAAAAUUUAAUCUCACUUAGCUGUGACUAAAUUUUUUUUUACUAUUAUCAAUGCAGGUAAUUAAUUGUUUCUGACAAAAUGAAGCAUAAAGAUGGGAAACCGAUUUCUCCAAAUGGUGAUAAAAGUCCCAGGAUUGUUCCUUUGACAGUAUUGUUUGUUGCACUAUGUGGGUUUUCGUUUUACCUUGGUGGAAUCUUUUGUUCUGAGAAAAACAGAGUCGAGAUUAGGGAUGUCUAGAAAGCAGUCCCGUCUCCCAAGGAUCCAGCGGUUGCUCCGCUUCAGAUCAAAUCUGUUAACUUCCUUGAAUGCAGCAGCAACUAUCAAGACUACACUCCAUGCACAAAUCCAAA
rnacentral:lncRNA from 1 species